CCUACGGGAUGCAGCAGUGAGGAAUAUUGGUCAAUGGACGAGAGUCUGAACCAGCCAAGUAGCGUGAAGGAUGACUGCCCUAUGGGUUGUAAACUUCUUUUAUAUGGGAAUAAAACGUUCCACGUGUGGGAUUUUGUAUGUACCAUAUGAAUAAGGAUCGGCUAACUCCGUGCCAGCAGCCGCGGUAAUACGGAGGAUCCGAGCGUUCUCCGGAUUUAUUGGGUUUAAGGGGAGCGUAGGUGGAUUGUUAAUGCAGUUGUGAAAGUUUGGGGCUCAACCGUAAAAUUGCAGUUGAAACUGGCAGUCUUGAGUACAGUAGGGGUGGGCGGAAUGCGGGGGGUAGCGUGGAAAGGAUUAGAUAUCACGAAGAACUCCGAUGGCGAAGGCAGUUCACUGGACUGCAACUGACACUGAGGCUCGAAAGUGUGGGUAUCAAACAGGAUUAGAUACCCGGGUAGUC
rnacentral:rRNA from 1 species